rnacentral:snRNA from 1 species
AUGGUUUAUGACGUAGAGAUAACCGUGAUCAACAAGGCGGUUUCUCCAGGGCGAAGCCUGUCCAUUGCACUACGGACGGGUUGAUCCUUGAGAAUAUCCCUAAUGUGGAUAUCUCGGACGUAUUAUUUUUGGUAGCCCGGUAAGGUAAAAUCACCGCU